ACUAAAUUGAUUUUGAGCAGUUUCAACUUUUAGCUUGAGUUGGAUGUUCCUUAAAAUUGGCAUAUAAGUUGAUAGAUAGUAGAUUGUAGAAAAAGAAAAGAAAAAGAAUGUUGCUGCCAUCCACAGCAGCCUUCACCACUCUUCAUCAUGCCCACUUAUCUUGGAUUAUGUUUUCCUAAACUCACAGUAAUAUUUGGUUUUUUAUAAUCUUGAUUCAAUUAAUAACGUGUAUCAAAAUUGGUGUUGCUCCAAAGCACAAGACUCCGAUUAGUGUUUGUUUUCUCUGCAUCACUGCCUUUCAAAUCCAAACUCUGACUCUUUUAUGUAAUAUAAUAUAAUAUAAAAUCUUCUGAUGCGGCAGAGUUGAUCGCACAACAGGGUGACUUGGUCAUACAUACCCCUCUCUUCAUCGAGGUUACAACUUCACUAAAGCAGAGGAGAAGAUCUUGGAAAUCUUAGAGAAUUUCGGGCAACCCAAACCAAAGUUUGAAGUGAAAAAGACAAGAAACUGAGGACUCUGAGUGCCACAGUGAAGUUAAUGUUCUAGAAUUGCACUUCCAUACGUGUUUACUUAUUAUCUUACCUAUGUUGAUAGUUAUUCUCUAUUAACCAAAAAUUAAAUUUCUUUUACUAAUAGGAUGUUGAGGAAGAAUCAGUGGGUGUUAAAAAGGCAGGUCCAACACGAGGUGUUAAGAGAAGUCGUUCAGCCGAAGUACAUAAUCUAUCUGAAAGGAGGCGAAAAGACAGGAUCAAUGAGAAGAUGCGUGCAUUGCAAGAUCUCAUACCAAACUGCAAUAAGCCGGCUUGAUAGAAAUUCCCUGACAGGAGAGGUUCCUACAAAUCUUUGUAAGAGAUGAGUUUGGAUGAUGAAAAUGGAGUGUUGGAGCAAGAAACAAAGAUGUUAGAGCAAGUUCCCGGAUGAAACUCACACAAGAGACCAAGAAACUAAGGCAGGCUUGUUUUAAAGUUAAUUACAAAAGGAGAAAACUUUUGGCCUCCAAAUCUUAUUCAUCAUCACUUAGUUAAGCUACUUGUCUUGUAUAUUCAUAUUCUAAGUAAUAAAAACAGCACUUAUUAGAUGGUUUAGAUAUAUUAUUAGAUAUUAACAUAGUUUAGGGAACUGGAUGGUAGAUUUGACUGAUUAGUAUUUAUUGCAAUGCUUGUAUUUUGGUAAGUUUAGUAAGACAAGGUUUUG